rnacentral:rRNA from 1 species
GCCUGGGGUGCCCCGCGAGGGGAGCCCUAGCACAGGUGCUGCAUGGCCGUCGUCAGCUCGUGCCGUGAGGUGUUGGGUUAAGUCCCCGCAACGAGCGCAACCCCCGCCGUUAGUUGCCAGCGGUUCGGCCGGGCACUCUAACGGGACUGCCCGCGAAAGCGGGAGGAAGGAGGGGACGACGUCUGGUCAGCAUGGCCCUUACGGCCUGGGCGACACACGUGCUACAAUGCCCACUACAAAGCGAUGCCACCCGGCAACGGGGAGCUAAUCGCAAAAAGGUGGGCCCAGUUCGGAUUGGGGUCUGCAACCCGACCCCAUGAAGCCGGAAUCGCUAGUAAUCGCGGAUCAGCCAUGCCGCGGUGAAUACGUUCCCGGGCCUU